rfam:Myotis davidii contig52943, whole genome shotgun sequence.
GGUGGUUAUUGGGUGACUCACCCCAGAAUUAGACUCCCUCCUCUCUGGUUCCAGGUGGGUCACCUGAGAACCCCA